rnacentral:lncRNA from 1 species
AUGACAUUGGGGGUUUUUACUGCGUCAGCCAUUAGUUCCUGCAAGACAAGAAGGAUUCGGUUAUACCUGAAGCAGCAGGGAGCUCUGGGGCCCAGGAAGGGUCGGGCUUCGCACUUUGAAGUCCUUAUCAAUGGACUCGAACUGCCUGGAGUCCUCCGGCAGCUGGCUGCGGAUGUCCUCGGAGCCGAUGAAGAUGCUCUCCAGGUGACUCCACGUCCUCUGCACCUCGAACCAGAUGCUGAUCACGGAGUCGGCGGUCGACAGCUUCUGCUGCCAGCCCGACACCUCCUGGAGGAAGAAGGCGAGGUACUUGGAGGCCAUCAGGUUCUGCAGCUGCACUUGGUUGUCCUCCAGCGUCUCGAUGAGCACUUCGUCCGACUUGAGGAGCAUGACGCCCGUCCUGGCGUGGCGCUCAUGCUCAAACUGCAUCGUGGCCCAGGUGCUGUCCAGGGCGCUCAGCACCUUCAGUGUGAGAAAUGGGCACGAGUUGCAAGGGGCCGUGUGCUGCUGUGGGCUGCAGGUGUCAGAGCAGGGGGGCUCUCCACAAAGUGGGUGCAAACCCAGCAGGGAUUACUGUACCUUCUCCAUCCCCGACUCCUUCACAGCUUUGUCCACGAUGCCACGAACCUCAUCCUCGAACUUGUGCAGGUUCAGCUGCAGCAGAUCCGCCAGGGUUGUGUCCUGGGACAUGGUGAAGUUCACCUGUGGCAGAACCGGCAUCGUUGGGCACAGCCCCCCCGGAGCAGCCUCCCCCUCCUUGGCUCGGGGCGCACCUUGGUCGCCUGCAUGAGCUCGUGCCAGUGCCGCUCCCUGAUGGCCGGGUUCUGCAGCUCGUUCACGGCGCGCAGGGACGUCAUCAUGUUCUUCAUGCUGUUGUCCAGCCCUACGAAUGCAUCCCAGCUUCUCAUCUCCUUAUCCAGGCUCCGAAUGUCUUUAGCAAAUUUCUUGCAGUCGAUAUCCAUCUGCUCGACGUUGAUAUCCUUCCACCUGGUGGUUUUCCAGUCAUCGAUGCUCGUGUUGACCUGCAUUUGGGAGGACACUUUCAGAGGACACAUGCACCCAGCCCAGCGCAUGGAGCAGAAUGGCAGCGCCCUCCACGCUGCGCUGCCACAGAUCACAGCGCGUACCAGCACGAUCAUGUCCCAGAGCUGCUUCAGCAGACGCACUUCCCUGUGGCAUGCUUUGAGCUGCUUGUACUCUGGGACGGCCACUUCAAACAGCCCGGCUGACUUGGACAGCGCAGCCAAGUCGCUCUCCAUGGCAGCGAUGCUCUUCUGUUGCUGGAGAAGAGAAGGAAAAGGGCUCAGCCCGAAAACUUGUGUCCUGCCUUGGGGAUGUGCGUCCUGCCCAGGGGACAGCGCUGCCCUGUGGCUCUCCUGA